UUANNNNGCUUGACNUGAACUGGAAAUACCUGGAAACAGGUGCCCCGCUUGCGGUCGGUUUACAGGUGGUGCAUGGUUGUCGUCAGCUCGUGUCGUGAGAUGUUGGGUUAAGUCCCGCAACGAGCGCAACCCUCGUUCUAUGUUGCCAGCACGUUAUGGUGGGGACUCAUAGGAGACUGCCGGGGUCAACUCGGAGGAAGGUGAGGACGACGUCAAAUCAUCAUGCCCCUUAUGUCUUGGGCUUCACGCAUGCUACAAUGGCCGGUACAAUGGGUUGCGAUACUGUGAGGUGGAGCUAAUCCCAAAAAGCCGGUCUCAGUUCGGAUUGGGGUCUGCAACUCGACCCCAUGAAGUCGGAGUCGCUAGUAAUCGCAGAUCAGCAACGCUACGGUGAAUACGUUCCCGGG
rnacentral:rRNA from 1 species